AUAAAGGAAUACCCAAGGCUGGAUAAUUUAUAAAGAAUAGAGGUUUAUUUGGCUCGCAGUUCUGCAAGCUACACAAGAAGCAUGGCACUAGCACCAAUGCAUUUUCUGAGGGCCUCAGGCUGCUUCCUCUCACGGCAGAAAGUGAAGGGGAGCCAGCACGUGCAGAGAUCACAGGGCAAAAGAGGAAGCAAGAGAAAGAAGGGGAAGGGGCCAGACUCAUUUUAACAACCAGAUAUUGUGGGAAUUAAGACUGAGAAUUCACUCACUCCUCACCUCCAAGGAAUAGCAUUAAUCUAUUCACGAGGGAUCUACCUCCAUGGCCCAAAUACUUCCCAUGAGGCCUCUCCUCCAACACUGGGGAUCAAAUUUCAACAUGAGGUCUGGAGGGCUCAUAUAUCCAAACCACACAGCACAGUAAUAUCAAAUGAGUGAAUGUGAAGGCUUAGGAAAGGCCCAGGCUAAUGUGUGUGAUCAUGUCUUCGUUGUUUUUUUUGUUUGUUUGUUUUUUAAUAUAGGGUUUUUCUGUCGCCUAGGCUGUAGUGCAGUGGUGCCAUCACGACUCACUGCACCCUCAAUCUUCCAGGCUCAAUCGACUCUCCCACCUCAGCCUCCUAAGUAGAUGGGACUACAGGUGCACACCACCAUGCCCAACUGAUUUUUCUAUUUUUUGCAGAGAAGGAGUCUUGCCAUAUUACCCAGGCUGGUCUUGAACUUCCGGGCUCAAGUGAUGUGCUCGCCUUGGCCUCCCAAAGUGCUGGAAUUACAGGCAUGAGCCACUGCGCCCAGCCCCCAUGUCUUCCUUUUUUAGAAAAGAGUUAAAAGGUCCUGAAUUCCAGCAGAAUGGCUGAAGCCAACCAGUCUCAAGACCUCAACCAAGGAACCAACCAACUCUGCACAGGAAUGCGGUUUCUUCAUCUCCCUGUCCCAGGAAUUCCCCCUUGCUUCUUGACCAAUCAGCAAUCCCCACAUUUUAGCCCUACCUGUUCAGACCCUUUACAAGCUCCAUCCCCAAACCCUGGAGGGAGGAGGAUUUGAAGGUUCCUCUGUCUCAUUUGACUGCCCUACAAUUAUUAAACUCUUUCUCUACUGCAA
rnacentral:lncRNA from 10 species